AGUCCGGAUCCCAAGUCCUGACUUCCAGACACAUCACCCAUCCUAUGCAAACUUCUGAGAGCCUGCCAGGAUGCCAUGUAGGCACAUGUGGGCUUGAGCCAUCCUCCUCCAAGAAGCCCCAGUACUGCGUGGGUGGCCAGUCAAAGAAUGGGACUAUCAAAUGGAAUAAGAGGCAAGAUUGAUCAUCCUGAGCAAAGCGAUGCCUUCCGAAGGCAGCUUCCCCUGCUGUCU
rnacentral:lncRNA from 1 species